rnacentral:tRNA from 1 species
AGGAGUGUAGCUCAAUUGGUAGAGCACCGGUCUCCAAAACCGGGGGUUAUCGGUUCGAUCCCGGUCACUCCUGCCA